CCAAUGUGUCCCUAUGGGUCUCAAUGUGUCUCUAUGGGUCCCAAUGUGUCUCUAUGGGUCCCAACGUGUCUCUAUAGGUCUCAAUGUGUCUCUGUGGGUCCCAAUGUGUCUCUAUGGGUCCCAACGUGUCUCUAUAGGUCUCAAUGUGUCUCUAUGGGUCCCAACGUGUCUCUGUGGGUCCCAACGUGUCUCCAUGGGUUGGCUGCGAGUGUGGAGCUGCCUGGGGGCUGCAAGGCCCUGCAGGGGGAUCUGGGCCGGCUAUGGAAUGCUGGGCUGAAGGCAGUGGGAUGAGUUACAACAAGGCCAUAGGUCGGGUCCUGCGCUUUGGCCACCACAAACCCAGGUCGGCAUCCAGGCAGGUCUGGAAACAUCUCCAGAGCAGGAGACUCCACCACCUCCAUGGGCAGCCGGGGAGCAUCAGUGGGGCAUCAGUGGGGCAUCAGUGGGGCAUCAGUGGGGCAUCAGUGGGGCAUGGAGGACCUUGAGUACCUUGAGUGUAGAG